rnacentral:rRNA from 1 species
AACGAACGCUGGCGGCAGGCUUAACACAUGCAAGUCGAACGGGCGUAGCAAUACGUCAGUGGCAGACGGGUGAGUAACACGUGGGAACCUUCCUAGGGGUACGGAACAACUCAGGGAAACUUGAGCUAAUACCGUAUACGUCCGAGAGGAGAAAGAUUUAUCGCCCUUAGACGGGCCCGCGUCGGAUUAGGUAGUUGGUGGGGUAACGGCCUACCAAGCCGACGAUCCGUAGCUGAUCUGAGAGGAUGAUCAGCCACACUGGGACUGAGACGCGGCCCAGACUCCUACGGGAGGCAGCAGUGGGGAAUCUUGGACAAUGGGCGCAAGCCUGAUCCAGCCAUGCCGCGUGAGUGAAGAAGGCCUUAGGGUUGUAAAGCUCUUUUGGCAGGGACGAUAAUGACGGUACCUGCAGAAUAAGCCCCGGCAAACUUCGUGCCAGCCGCCGCAGUAAAAC